CGGACGGGUGAGUAACACGUGAGCAACCUGCCUUCGAGAGGGGAAUAACGGCUGGAAACGGUCGCUAAUACCGCAUAACAUACUGGAGGGACAUCCCUUUGGUAUCAAAGAUUAUAUCGCUCGGAGAUGGGCUCGCGUCCGAUUAGGUAGUUGGUGAGGUAACGGCUCACCAAGCCGACGAUCGGUAGCCGGACUGAGAGGUCGAACGGCCACAUUGGGACUGAGACACGGCCCAGACUCCUACGGGAGGCAGCAG
rnacentral:rRNA from 1 species